rnacentral:lncRNA from 1 species
UCAGACAGAGCAUUUGGGCUCGCAGCCGAAACGACUCCGAGACAAGAUGCAGCAUCUCACGAAGCUAUCUUCCCCUGCUUUCCAUGACUCUCCGAUCAGCCGUUCUAGGAGCAGUCCGAGACCACCUCGGCACUUUGAUUGACCACUUCGACGCUCCACUUGGCCAUUCUAAUGCUUGGAUAGACCAUGCCGGAGCUCUAAAUCGAUCCCUUGG